rnacentral:rRNA from 1 species
CACUGCCGAGAAAAGCCUCUAGAUAGAAAAUAGGUGCCCGUACCGCAAACCGACACAGGUAGUCAAGAUGAGAAUUCUAAGGUGAGCGAGCGAACUCUCGUUAAGGAACUCGGCAAAAUGACCCCGUAACUUCGGGAGAAGGGGUGCUCUUUAGGGUUAACGCCCAGAAGAGCCGCAGUGAAUAGGCCCAAGCGACUGUUUAUCAAAAACACAGGUCUCUGCUAAACCGUAAGGUGAUGUAUAGGGGCUGACGCCUGCCCGGUGCUGGAAGGUUAAGAGGAGUGGUUAGCUUCUGCGAAGCUACGAAUCGAAGCCCCAGUAAACGGCGGCCGUAACUAUAACGGUCCUAAGGUAGCGAAAUUCCUUGUCGGGUAAGUUCCGACCCGCACGAAAGGCGUAACGAUUUGGGCACUGUCUCAACGAGAGACUCGGUGAAAUCAUA